AUUGAACGCUGGCGGAAUGCUUUACACAUGCAAGUCGAGCGGCAGCGCGGGGCAACCUGGCGGCGAGCGGCGAACGGGUGAGUAAUGCAUCGGAACAUGUCCAUGUCGUGGGGGAUAGCCCGGCGAAAGCCGGAUUAAUACCGCAUAUGCCCGAGAGGGGAAAGCCGGGGACCGCAAGGCCUGGCGCGAUUGGGUUGGCCGAUGUCCGAUUAGCUAGUUGGCGGGGAAGAGCCCACCAAGGCGAUGAUCGGUAGCUGGUCUGAGAGGAUGAUCAGCCACACUGGGACUGAGACACGGCCCAGACUCCUACGGGAGGCAGCAGGUGGGGUAAUUUUGGACAAGUGGGGGAAACCCUGAUCCAGCCAUUCCGCGUGAGUGAAGAAGG
rnacentral:rRNA from 1 species